GAUGAAGAACGCAGCAAAAUGCGAUAAGUAAUGUGAAUUGCAGAAUUCAGUGAAUCAUCGAAUCUUUGAACGCACAUUGCGCCCGCUGGUAUUCCGGCGGGCAUGCCUGUUCGAGCGUCAUUUCAACCCUCAAGCCCCCGGGUUUGGUGUUGGGGAUCGGCUCUGCCCUUCUGGGCGGUGCCGCCCCCGAAAUACAUUGGCGGUCUCGCUGCAGCCUCCAUUGCGUAGUAGCUAACACCUCGCAACUGGAACGCGGCGCGGCCAUGCCGUAAAACCCCAACUUCUGAAUGUUGACCUCGGAUUAGGUAGGAAUACCCGCUGAACUUAAGCAUAUCAAUAAGCGGAGGA
rnacentral:misc_RNA from 1 species